rnacentral:rRNA from 1 species
GACGAACGCUGGCGGCGUGCUUAACACAUGCAAGUCGAACGGAAAGGCCCUGCUUUUGUGGGGUGCUCGAGUGGCGAACGGGUGAGUAACACGUGAGUAACCUGCCCUUGACUUUGUGAUAACUUCAGGAAACUGGGGCUAAUACCGGAUAGGAGCUCCUGCUGCACGGUGUGGGUUGGAGAGUUUCGGCGGUUGGGGAUGGACUCGCGGCUUAUCAGCUUGUUGGUGGGGUAGUGGCUUACCAAGGCUUUGACGGGUAGCCGGCCUGAGAGGGUGACCGGCGACAUUGGGACUGAGAUACGGCCCAGACUCCUACGGGAGGCAGCAGUGGAGAAUAUUGCGCAAUGGGCGGAAGUCUGAUGCAGCAACGCCGCGUGCGGGAUGACGGCCUUCGGGUUGUAAACCGCUUUCGCCGGUGACGAAGCGUGAGUGACGGUAAUGGGUAAAGAAGCACCGGCUAACUACGUG